UGAGGUUUCGGCCAAAUGAUAGGAAUGCUUAGUGGCGGACUGGUGAGUAACGCGUGAGGAACCUGCCUUCCAGAGGGGGACAACGGCUGGAAACGGCCGCUAAUACCGCAUAACAUCACGAAGGCGCAUGCCGUUGUGAUCAAAGGAGCAAUCCGCUUAAGGGUGGGCUCGCGUCCGAUUAGCUAGUUGGUGAGGUAAAGGCCCACCAAGGCGACGAUCGGUAGCCGAACUGAGAGGUUGAACGGCCGCAUUGGGACUGAGAGACGGCCCAGACUCC
rnacentral:rRNA from 1 species